UAAAAGGUGUGUGCUUUAGCUACGCGGGGUC
rnacentral:piRNA from 1 species